AUCUUCGACCUGCCCAUGCCUGCGCGCUGACUCUCACCUCUCCGACCUGCUCCAGCGGAAGGUUCUCUGCCCCGGGCAAAGCUAUUUGAGCAGGCCAAGAGUUGAAGAAAAAUACCAGACCAAACCAGCUCCUCCAGCAUGAAAGACAAAAGCAAGAAAAGCAAGGUGCAGGGCCACUAGAUGUCACUGCCUUCAAUCUGUUCCACAAACUGCCACUUGCUGGGAGCUGAGAAGCCGGCCAGACAUUUCAGUGCAGGAAGAGCCCUCGCGGCGACAACCGCGAAGAGGACUUCCCGCGAGUGCGUGGGGCUAGAAGCACUUCCAGUGAUUCUUUGCAAGGUUCAAAGUGAAAGUGAACAGACCAGUCAAAGGGAGCUCGCGUUCAGGUUCCUGUUAUUCGGACUAUGCUGGGCCGGGAAGGGCGCACGGAACGGGACCUAUGGCCUACAGACUCACCGCGCCCUCCGUCCCCGCCCACGCCUAGGGUACCAUCUGCCCGCCUGUGCUCUGCGCUGAGUGCCCAGCCAGCCGCAACCCCACAGAUGACCACGACGUUGACCUGCCUGUUUCCACUUUGCAGGAAAGGAGACAGAGUGAGGAGGCCAGCAACAGGCACAAGAGCUCCUUUUUGACGUGGGAUCAGGGAGGCCCCAGGUGGUGGCCGCAGAGGAGCUGUAUUCACCCUGCCUCCUAGUUGGGGCACCACACUAGUUCCAAAUGGGGGAAACUAGGGCAAGACUGGAGCUAAAGGAGCAGGGAAACCUUUGAAUCCAUAACGAAUGCUACACAACUUCCAGAGGCACAUGGCCCAACAGAAAAGCCUCAGAUGGAGUAACAUCUAAAAGGACUGAGUAUUUGGAAACGUGUUCCUUUGGGGCAAAGAUGACACCUCCUAGGUUGAUGCGUGAUUGGCAUCAGCCAGGGCCUGAAUUUAUGUUUCUUAUAAUGGUUUUAUAGUUCUUGAUUAAAUUGUGCAUUUUCUUUUUGCACUGUUCCGCAGUUUUAAUAUUCAUUCCCAUUGUAGCUGGACAUACUCAUCUGCAGUUCAGUUCACAACAGAAAUGAUAAUUUGUGUAGGAGGGAUGACAGCCCAAAAUAGCCCAUUUUCUAUAAUCCAGCUGUAGUUAGAAGGGGCAGAAC
rnacentral:lncRNA from 1 species